AGACUGGGAUCAAGUGACUCAAUCAUCUUAGAGUUUUGCCUUUAGUCAUGAAGAUAGAGGAGUGAGAAAAAACACGGAAGAUGAUGUGGGACAUUUUAGGAGCCAAGCCUGGAUGGGGAAAGGGCUGCCUACAUUUCAUUGGCCAGAAGUCAGUCGCUUGAUCACCCUAACUGCAGGAGUCUGGGAAGGUAAAGGUGCAUAUGGAUCCAGUUACAGGGAACUGUAAAUUAUUCAGGGACCCAUUCUUGGAUUGUACAUUAGUCUGGCGACAUUUUCAGCAUCCUGUUUUGGGCUUUUUAGAAAAAACAAAUGGGCCAGGAAUGAAGCCUCUCAAAAUAAGCCCAGAGUGGAAGGGAGCUGCCAUGUGGUGAGCUGCCCUGUGUAGAGAUCCAUGGGUCAAGAAAUUGAUGUUUCCAGCCAACAGCCAGCCAAGACCUCAGGGCUGCCAACAGCCACGUCAGUGAGCUUGGAAGUGCAUCCUAUCCGAGUUGAGCCCGCAGAUCACUCAGCCCCAGCCAACCCCUUUGCUGCAUCCUUGUGAGAGAUCCUGAGUCAGGCACCAGUGAAGCCUUGCUCAGAUUCCUGAUCCACAGACAUGAGUCCAAGCCUGAUCCUCUUUGGGGACCUGACUGGUCAGGUUCUGUUUAAGCAGCUUCACCUUCAGAGGAAUACAGGGCAGUCCAGUCUCACUUUGGAAAACUUCUCCAUGGAGGACAUAUUCUAGUAGAUUUUUUUGAAUCCAAGUGAUAAACAGAGAAGAGGAAAAGCAAGUAGAUUAGUAUUUAUGAGGGAGGAAGUAGUGCAGGAGAUGGCCAUGGAAGCCCACUUCUGGCUCCAAGGGUCUGGUUUGUAGCAGCCUGAUCCUGCUGAUGCCCGAUUGGAAAGUUGGACAAAAUGCCAAAGGAUCUGUCUGAAGACACCUGGUAGCUAGAACUUGGCCAAUGUCUCAAGGAAAGAGGAGCACAUUGAUAUGAACCAGUGGGUACCUGACACAAAAGCAACCCACAUUGCAAGUGUUCAAUCGCCACCUACAGCUACUCUACUAGACAGCAGAGAUAGAGCUUCUACAGUUUCCUAUAUACAAUAUCUACUAUGCAAUGAAAACUUUCCAGGCAUACAAGAAAGUAGGACCAAAAGAAAAAAAAAAUAGGUAAUAGAAACAGAUCCCGAUAUGAGAAUGAUCAAAAAUAGAUUUUUAAAUAACUAAGAUUCAUAUAUUCAAGAAAUUAGAAGACAAAUGUGAAUUCAGCAGAAAACUCAAAUCAAUAAACCAAAUGAAAAUUCUAGAACUGAAAAAUGCGAUAACUGAAAUUAAGAGCUGAAUAGAUAGAUUUAACAGCAGAUUAGUCACAGUCAAAUAAAAGAUUAGGAAACUGAAAGAUUGGCCAAUAGAAAAAUCCAGAAUAAAGAAUAGAGAAUUUAAAAGGGUAUAAAAUACCAAAAAA
ensembl:lncRNA novel transcript